CUGGACCUGUAGCUAGUUUUAUUUUGUUUCAUCUGUACUUUAUGUAGCAUGUUCUUUUUUUGUUAUUUGUUGAGGUGUGCCAACCAUGAUGUGGAUUUGGGUUUUUGAAUGCGCAUCAGAUUGAUUGGGACGGGUAUACAAUUGGAUACUAUGGUCGCAUUUUCGAAGCUCGAAACAAGACAAAAGGGGGUUCUUUUGAGGUACAAAAUGCUGCCUUUAGAUGAUAAAAAGAUGAGUCCUCAGCUCCCUUAGAACUAUAAAAUAGACAUCCUUUUAAAUAUAAACUGAGUUAUUCCUUCAGUUUGACCAACGCCCGCAUUUUGUAUUCAAAUUACAGGGCGGUGAUAAGGAAUUCUUCAAGUUUAAGGUUGGAUCAGGACA
rnacentral:lncRNA from 1 species